ensembl:lncRNA KTN1-AS1 KTN1 antisense RNA 1
UCUGCCUCCGCGCGCCUGCCCACGCGCUCCGGUACUCGCUGCUCGCGGCUGGCCGGCUCGGGAUUCCGGGCUUUCUUCCCGAGACCGCGUCCCCCAGCUGGGCCGAAGGUGGACGCUCAGGGGCUGGAGGCUCAGCGGAAUCCCCUGCGUUCAGUAGCCCCGCUCUCCCCUGUCCCGAAGGAUUACUCUGCCCCUCAGCGGUUCCAGUGCCCUCAAAGCAAUCUGUCUCUGAAGUACUGGCUAUCUUCUGAGCGUGUGCCAGAAGAUCCAGCUUUGUUGAAAAGCGAAGCCGUUAGUCCCUUAAUACAAAGGAGACAAAUUGAUUUAUGCCUGGGGCACCAUCACCAAAAGAAGAGGAAAUGGAUGCAAGCCUUCCCAGAACAACAGGCGUGCCCUGAAUUCUUUCUUGGGCGAGAUCCACGAACCGUCUCUUGGGGUCUGGAUUGGGACCCCUUUCCGGUAACAAGAAGAAGUGAAAUGUGCACUUAUGAGCCUGGAUCUUCAGACACAGAGCUGUGCCUCCUUCACACUCUCUUUUCCCUUCCCUCCAUCUAGAAUCCAUAUACUUUUAUCAUAUUAUGCAGAUAAUGACAAUGCAGAGCUACGGUUUAGAAAUAACCUGGGUUGUUGAAUAACAAGAGAACAGAGCUGCCCUGCUGGCCAGGAUUAUUUAUAUCUUAGCUGUUGUGAAAGGGGUGGGGAGAGAGAGAGAGAGACAGACAGAGACAGAGAGCAUCUUUUUCCUUUAAACCACUGCAUUUUGGAUUUUGGGACUCUGUUAUACUAGCUAGGCAUUACCCUAACUAAUGCAUAUGAAAAUGGAUGUAGGUACUGCAAUGGUGAUGGAGGGGUGCGGUGGGUGGAAGUAAAAAUGCUUAAAGAGGAGUUUUAGAGAAACUUGCUUAUGUGAUAUAUAAUGCAAUAGUCUUAUUUUUUCCUGAGUAACCUCUAGUCAUAAGUCUUCAUUACUUCUCAUUGCAGAUUCUGGCUUUUAUUUUUCCCAAAAAUGUCAAUAGGCUGAGCUCAAUCUUAUAUAAGCAUACGGUAAUUUAACAAGGUCUACUUGCAUGUGGGUUACAGAAUUAUUACUCCAUUUUUAGACAGGAAACUGAAGUUAUAUAGCAAAUAACUGAUGAAAACAGUAUUUCAAUCCUGACUUAUCAGACUCCAAAGCCAUUUCCCACCUAAAUAGUUAUUAGGUUUAUUUUUCCCUUGAAACAUGUGAGUAUAGUAGAGAUUUUAUUCUCUGUGUUGUCAUCUUUAGAGUAGGGAAACCCCACUCCAUCCAAUGGCAGGUGAUGGUCCACAGGGAUGCAGUACAGAAUGUGGCCAAGACUCUUAAGACUAAUGUUCUCUUUGGAGAAAGACAAGUGAGAAACUUCAGCCAAGUCAUCCUCUUGCCAAAAUUACUCCUUGGAUGAAAUUAUGACUCAUUUGGAAUCUUUAUUAAUUAAUUUGAUGAGGGAACAGCCGGGCUGAUAACCAUCUAUGCAGAAUGAUAAAAGUGGCUCAUACUUCAUCCAGAAAUCAAAGAAGGAAUGAAAACAGGUUUAAAAUUGGCAAAACACUGCAGCAUUCUCGGACUGGCCCCAGGGGCUUCAUUUCUGGCCAAAAUUGUAACACAAUUAACAGUAUUUGCAUAUCCCUUUGAAAAAUAUAUAUGCAAGCUCGGUGCAAUGGCUCACACCUGUAAUCCCAGCAGUUUGGGAGGCCGAGGUGGGCAGAUCACCUGAGGUCAGGAGUUUGAGACCAGCCUGGCCAACAUGGUGAAACCCCAUCUCUACUAAAAAUACAAAAAUUAGCUGGGUAUGGUGGCGCAUGCCUGUAAUCCCAGCUACACAGGAGGCUGAGACAGGAGAAUCACUGACGGAGGUUGCAGUGAGCCGAGAUCCUGCAACUGCACUGCAGCCUGGAUAACAGAGCGAGACUCAGUCUAAACAAACAAACAAACAAAAAAAUAUAUAUAUAUAUACACUCACACACAAACACAAAUGAUUCUAUUUAAAAAAUAUCAUUUUAUAACUGUAUUACUUGGCUGAGAUUUUAGUACUUCAUAAUUUUCUGCAACUGAGCAGAAAGGGGAAAAAUCUAAUGCUUGGCACUACAUUUUGCUUUCCAGUUUCAAAUAACAGUUUUAAAUCUCAGAGCUAAACAGCAACAGAUUAAAAAAGAAAUUUAUAUAUAUAAUUAACUGUAUAACUGAUUACACUUACCUGAGUAUACACUUGAUUAGUCUAGUAUUCUUCAAGUAUAAUUUUCCAAAUAAUAAUACAUUUGGCGAAUUGAAAAAGAAAUAAAUAAUGAUACGAAAUUUAUUGACAGCUAAAUUAAAAUACGAUUUUGCAAACAGCUUCAUAUAAUUCAAAUAUAUUCCCAGAAGUAAUUUUUUUGUAUAUUUCAUGCAAAAUAUUUCAAGUAAUAAUGCUGCCAGAAUUAUUUCUCAUAGGCAAAUACUGAAGUUAGUAUUGACAAAAACUUGAAGCUGGGUGAAGCCUUGCACAGUAUCUAGUCCAUCUUAUCAUAUUAAUGACAAAGAAACUGAAACCCAGGAAAAAUUAUUAAUAAGUCUGUUAAAGCAAACUAAAUAUGGCCUGAGAAGAACUCCGUACUUUUAUAUUUGAGUCCUUGUAGACAAAGAGUAACCUAGCUUAAUAGGCAGACGAGAUUGAAAACCCAAUUUAGCAGUAUAUGCUUGUAAAGAUACCUGAGUCUUGGCCAAUCCCAGCAGCCGUACUUCAACCACUCAUACACUGCUGAGUGUUCAAACUGUGUUCAAAUAAGGCAAACGCCAACCUGUAAACAAUCCAGCUAUUUCUGUACCUCAUUUCCGAUUUUUGUCAGUUUCCUUUUUUUUUAUCUAUAAAUUUGUUCCGACCACGAGGCAUCCCUGGUGUCUCUCUAAAUCUGCUGUGAUUCUGGGGGCUGCCCGAUUCGCAAAUUGUUUGUUGCUCAAUCAAACUCCUUUAAAUUUAAUUCAACUGAAGUUUCUUUUAACAAGUACAAGAUCAUCAUUAUUUUUUGCCAACCCUUAUAAUUGAUCCCUCUAUCUUUAGUCCUUUUAUUUAUUUUCUUACUCAAUUACUGAAAUAAAGAGG